rnacentral:rRNA from 1 species
GACGAACCGUGCGAACGUUGUUCGGAAUCACUGGGCUUAAAGGGCGCGUAGGCGGCGGAUCAAGUCCGGGUGAAAGCCCCCAGCUCAACUGGGAAGUGCCUUGGAUACUGAUUCGCUCGAGGGAGGUAGGGUCGCGGGAACUUCCGGUGGAGCGGUGAAAUGCGUUGAUAUCGGAAGGAACGCCGGUGGCGAAGCGCGCGACUGGACCUCUUCUGACGCUGAGGCGCGAAAGCCAGGGAGCGAACGGG